GACGAACGCUGGCGGCGUGCUUAACACAUGCAAGUCGAACGGAAAGGCCUGUCCUUCCUUGUGUUGGACGGGUACUCGAGUGGCGAACGGGUGAGUAACACGUGAGUGAUCUGCCCCCAACUUGGGUAUAAGCCUGGGAAACUGGGUCUAAUUCCCGAUAGGACUGCAGGGUGGUGCCUGUGGUGGAAAACGAUUUUCUAGUGGUUGGGGAUGAGCUCGCGGCCUAUCAGCUUGUUGGUGGGGUAAUGGCCUACCAAGGCGGCGACGGGUAGCCGGCCUGAGAGGGUGGACGGCCACAUUGGGACUGAGAUACGGCCCAGACUCCUACGGGAGGCAGCAGUGGGGAAUAUUGCACAAUGGGCGGAAGCCUGAUGCAGCGACGCCGCGUGGGGGAUGACGGCCUUCGGGUUGGAAACUCCUUUCGACCGCGAGGAAGCCGCCUGGUUGGAAGGGUGGUGACGGUAGUGGUAGAAGAAGCACCGGCUAACUACGU
rnacentral:rRNA from 1 species